rnacentral:rRNA from 1 species
UACCAGCACCCCGAGUGGUCGGGACGAUUAUUGGGCCUAAAGCAUCCGUAGCCGGUUCUACAAGUCUUCCGUUAAAUCCACCUGCUUAACAGAUGGGCUGCGGAGGAUACUAUGGAGCUAGGAGGCGGGAGAGGCAAGCGGUACUUAGUGGGUAGGGGUAAAAUCCGUUGAUCCAUUGAAGACCACCAGUGGCGAAGGCGGCUUGCCAGAACGCACGCGACGGUGAGGGAUGAAAGCUGGGGGAGCAAACCGG